UCUAGAACAUGCCCGUGUUUGUGUACGUCACUCUCGAGCCACGCCCACUAAUGCCAGACUGAGCUAUCUUCAGAAGCGCAAGGAACUACUACUACAGUCAGUCUUUUGAUAGCUAUUUUUUUACAGUCUAUGAUUGAUAGGUGUUGAGUUUUCCGUAUUUUAGAUGACACAGACCAGUAAAUGAUUAUAGGCUACUCUUGUGGGGGACCUCCAUGACGAUGAAAAUAAUAAAAAGCAUCUGGGUGUUCUCUAAUGCAGAUAGCUUCUAUUGAUCAUCAAGGGUCUUCAAAGAAAAAGGCAUUCAAGGUUUCCAUGGAGUGGUCGACGCUUUUGGAAUGUCACUCCAGCAGAGGGCGCUGUCGCCCUAGAACUGACGGACUCAAACCAGCGACCUUCUUGCUGUUUUUGCAAUCACAUGAUCGUGUUCUAAAAGAGGACUCAAGGUUUUUGAAACAAAUACUGAGCGCAUCAAAAAACUCCUCCACCUACACUUCCAGGGGGUCAUGGAGUUGGAGGCCAGUCAAGUCGAACAUGAAAUUGUCUAUGCUGAGGCUGGCUUCAACUGGCGAAAAGAUGUCUCCGUGGG